rnacentral:lncRNA from 1 species
UGGCACACGUUUGUAGUCCCAGCUACUUGGGAAGCUCAGGCAGGAGAAACUUGAACCCAGGAGGUAGAGUUCGCAGUGAGUAGAGAUCACACUGCUGCACUCCAAAGUGAGACUCCAUCUCAAAAAAAAAAAAAAAAAAGUAGAACUUUACAAACACUACAGUGCAUUUUCUAGAAAAUUUUUUCUAGGCCGGGCGCGGUGGCUCACGCCUGAAACUUGAACCCAGGAGGUAGAGUUCGCAGUGAGUAGAGAUCACACUGCUGCACUCCAAAGUGAGACUCCAUCUCAAAAAAAAAAAAAAAAAAGUAGAACUUUACAAACACUACAGUGCAUUUUCUAGAAAAUUUUUUCUAGGCCGGGCGCGGUGGCUCACGCCUGUAAUCCCAGCACUUUGGGAGGCAGAGGUGGGUGGAUCACGAGGUCAGGAGAUCAAGACCAUCCUGGCUAACACGGUGAAACCCCGUCUCUACUAAAAAUACAAAAAAAAUUAGCCGGGCGUAGUGGCGGGAGCCUGUAGUCCCAGCUACUCAGGAUGCUGAAGCAGAAGAAUGGCCUGAACCCGGCAGGCAGAGCUUGCAGUGAGCCGAGAUUGUGCCACUGCACUCCAGCCUGGGCGACAGAGCCAGACUCCGACUCAAAAAAAAAAAAAAAAGAAAAAGAAAAAUUUUUCUAAAUCUCCAUUGUUAAGAGAUCACUGUGAGGUAGGGUAGGGAGUGUGGGGAAAGAUUGGGGCCCCCAGGUUUGAAGAUCAGCUUGGUCUUGCCUGUGUGCAUGUAUCUGAUAAAAUGCAGGAAAAGUUUGUCUCUUCCCCACCCUCACUUCCACCCACUGUGAGGCUUGCUCAUGUCCAGAUUGGGCUCAGGAUGGCAGUUGUGGAUGCUCAGAGCACAAAAGGCUUCUUGUUUGCCCAAGGGCCUAUCAGUGUUUAAAUAGAACUGGCGGAAGCACAAGCACACCGUAUCAGCAGCUUAUCAGGGACCAUGGUUUUCCACGUACAUUUGCUAGGCACUUCAGUUUACCCAACUCCAUCAGCACUGAGUUAAAUUGCAAGGUUGGGCUGUACUACGCUGAGCCAGGGCAGGGAGAACAAGCCAGUUACUGGGGAUGAGGGUGUCGGGGGGGCCCUCAAGACCUUAUUUGCAUUCUGCCCACAUAGAGAAUAAAGCUGUGAUAGCCUGUGUACUAAGAGGCACCCAAAGAGAACCAGUCAGUCUUAGGAAUGCACCCGGAAGGUGGGAUGAGUCCAGGCCUCCCUAUGGUGGAAGUAGUUGGAGAUACCUCUUGUUACCCUGGUUUUCCAUCUUAGUUUACCAGGUGUAUAGUCAGUGCGGGUUAUGGUUAAAGGAGGUGUCAAUUGGGGGCCUGUUAAUGUCUUAAAAUUGUAUGCAAUUUUGGGGUUUGCAAAUGCGUCUGCGUGCAUAUUUCUCUGGCAGCUGACCUAUGAAUCAAAGGACUAAAUGUUCUUGUACUAUUCGGGCUGCAUCUUCUUUGAGGGUAAUCUUCAGGGCAGAUACAUGGGUAGCCUACUUUAGAAAUGAGGCCUUUGCAAUUAUAAUCACUCCUACUUUCUAAGCACUUGCUAUAUGCCAGGUGCUGUGCUAAAUGCUUUAUAAAUGUUAUCACAUUUAAUUCUCAGAAAAUCUUAUGAGAUAGGAAUUUUUAUUUCUAAAAGAGUUA